rnacentral:rRNA from 1 species
UACGUAGGGGGCAAGCGUUGUCCGGAUUCAUUGGGCGUAAAGAGCGUGUAGGCGGCCAGGUAGGUCGGUUGUGAAAACUGGAGGCUCAACCUUCAGAGGUCGACCGAAACCAUCUGGCUAGAGUCCGGGAGAGGAGAGUGGAAUUCCUGGUGUAGCGGUGAAAUGCGCAGAUAUCAGGAAGAACACCCGUGGCGAAAGCGGCUCUCUGGAACGGUACUGACGCUGAAGCGCGAAAGCUAGGGGAGCAAACAGG